ensembl:lncRNA
AAUUGCUGCGUUGAUUGUUGCAUCACGUCUGGAAAGGACAUGCUGUUAGAUGGGGAGUUAAGUUUGUUUCAACAACAUCUAUGUAUCAGAUUUUUGUGUUAAAACAUAAGCACUGUCUCGCAGGAGGCAAUGAAAAGCUUAAUUUGUUUUUGUAAUGUCUUUUGACGAGUUAUGUGAGCUGUGCACUUGUAUACUCAUUGGCUCAUAACAGAAUCUGUAGGGAGAGCGAGUACAUGAUUAUAAUCAUCAGUAUGCAGCCUUUUUUUUUUCGCAGCCUCGGAGGGACAAAACUUUGAGUUCAUAAUGCAAUAUUCAAAGAGUCAAUUAUGUACAUUGUUGAGCUGCAAAAAUAUAAGCUGAAAGUGUGUACUUUAAAAUAGUGUGGGCUCAAUUUCAGUAUAACUGGUGAUGCUUCUGCAUAGCGUUCAUUAUUUUCAGUAAACAUCAUGAGGUUGUGAAAUGCAAAAGUGUUUGUGUGCCGUAUGUAUUUGCAGUGUUAUUGCUGCCUGUUGUUCUGAAUGAACUCUUUUAAAUAUAGGAGUUAAUAUACACUACUGUGCAAAAGUUUGAGGUCUGUAAGAUUUAUUGAUUUAUUAAUUUAUUUAAUUGAUUUAUUUGAAAGAAAUACAUUUAUUCAGCAAGGAUGCAUUAAAUGAUCAAAAGUGACAGUAAAAACAUUUAGAAUGUUACAAAAUAUUUCUAUUUCGAAUAAAUGCUGUUGUUUAAAAGACAACAAAGAUUAUUAGAGUAUGUUUCAUAAGAUUUUUUUUUAUUCUUUCUACUUCAAAAUUUCAUAUUUAAUUCAGUGUUUUACUUUGCUUUUUCUUUGUAAUUCUUUGUGAAAUUUACUAGCAAUUUCUGAGUGAAAACUGUUUUAUCUAUCUAUCUAUCUAUCUAUCUAUCUAUCUAUCUAUCUAUCUAUCUAUCUAUCUAUCUAUCUAUUCAUUAAAUCUUUUUUUUUUCUCCCAGCAGGACACUUUCACCUUCAGUAUGAAAGCAGAGCGUUUCCAGUUCCACCACGGCUGAAACGGCAUGAUACAACUGUGGACUAUCAGCACUUUGAAUUAGAGUCCUCUGCACACCGCCGCCGCCGCCUCAACUGUGGAUAAACAGCAUUAGGGACCCAUUGUUUGAGAAGCUUGCACUUUGCCUAAACAAUAUGCAAUCUUCUGCACCACCACAUUUUUUCACUCAUGUACGUUCAUUCUUCUUCUGUUAUCAUGGGAUUUUUCAUUAGCCAUCUAAUAAUGAUACCAAAACUGAUUUUUACGGAGGCGUAUGAACAAUCUGAAAAGGGGGGAGGGGGU